rnacentral:rRNA from 1 species
AACGUAGGAUCCGAGCGUUAUCCGAAUUCACUGGGCGUAAAGCGCGUGCAGGCGGCUUUGUAAGUUGGAUGUGAAAUCUCCCGGCUCAACUGGGAGGGGACGUUCAAGACUGCAAGGCUCGAGGGCAGUAGAGGGAGGCAGAAUUCCCGGUGUAGUGGUGAAAUGCGUAGAUAUCGGGAGGAAUACCAGAGGCGAAGGCGGCCUCCUGGACUGAACCUGACGCUCAGACGCGAAAGCUAGGGGAGCAAACGGGAUUAGAAACCCCGGUAGUCCUAGCCGUAAACGAUGUAGACUUGGCGUGGGUGGGGUAAAAUCCAUCCGUGCCGGAGCCAACGCGAUAAGUCUACCGCCUGGGGACUACGGCCGCAAGGUUAAA